GUGGGGAAUAUUGGACAAUGGGCGAAAGCCUGAUCCAGCAAUGCCGCGUGAGUGAUGAAGGCCUUAGGGUUGUAAAGCUCUUUUACCCGGGAUGAUAAUGACAGUACCGGGAGAAUAAGCUCCGGCUAACUCCGUGCCAGCAGCCGCGGUAAUACGGAGGGAGCUAGCGUUGUUCGGAAUUACUGGGCGUAAAGCGCACGUAGGCGGUUACUCAAGUCAGAGGUGAAAGCCCGGGGCUCAACCCCGGAACUGCCUUUGAAACUAGGUAACUAGAAUCUUGGAGAGGUCAGUGGAAUUCCGAGUGUAGAGGUGAAAUUCGUAGAUAUUCGGAAGAACACCAGUGGCGAAGGCGACUGACUGGACAAGUAUUGACGCUGAGGUGCGAAAGCGUGGGGAGCAAACAGGAUUAGAUACCCGUGUAGUCC
rnacentral:rRNA from 1 species